UACGGGGGGAGCAAGCGUUGUUCGGAUUUACUGGGCGUAAAGGGCUCGUAGGCGGUUUGUCACGUCGGGAGUGAAAUCUUACAGCUUAACUGUGAACUUGCUUUCGAUACGGGCAGACUUGAGGCAUUCAGGGGAGAACGGAAUUCCUGGUGUAGCGGUGAAAUGCGCAGAUAUCAGGAGGAACACCGGUGGCGAAGGCGGUUCUCUGGGAAUGUACUGACGCUGAGGAGCGAAAGUGUGGGGAGCGAACAGG
rnacentral:rRNA from 1 species